rnacentral:rRNA from 1 species
UACGGAGGGUGCAAGCGUUAAUCGGAAUUACUGGGCGUAAAGCGCACGCAGGUGGCUGAGUCAGUCGAUUGUGAAAGCCCUGGGCUUAACCUGGGAAUUGCAUUCGAGACUGAAUAGCUAGGGUACGGUAGAGGGAAGUGGAAUUUCCGGUGUAGCGGUGAAAUGCGUAGAUAUCGGAAGGAACAUCAGUGGCGAAAGCGACUUCCUGGACCAGUACCGACGUUCAGGCACGAAAGCGUGGGGAGCAAACAGG